rnacentral:ncRNA from 1 species
GAUGGAAUGAUGUAGGCAAGGCAAUUCAGGAAAAUAGAUCUAUAACUUCAAGAAAAAUAUUGAUUCUGACGGCUUGGCACGAAACUCCCAAUCCAAAAUCCGCUGGCUGUCAGUUGACUGCUCGAGAGACUCCUAAUAGAGAGUUUGUCGUUGCAUUCCAUUCAGGGUAUGGACUGAGAGUGAUUUCUUAAGGGACCUCUUAUGGGCAUUAAACAACAAUUCAAAACUAGUACAAACAAGAGGAAUCUAACUAUUGAAUUAAAACAAAUUAUUGUGAUGGUCACAAUGGAUGUUUACACAAUGUGAUUUCUGCCUAGUGCUUUGAAUGUCAAAUUAAAGAAAUUCAACCAAGCGCAUGUAAAUAACGAGAGUAACUAUGAAUCACUUGAGAAAGACAUAUGCCUCAUCAAAUAACGAGUGGCACACAUGAAUGGAUUAAUGAUAUUGUCAUUGUCCCUGUCUAAUAUCCCUAGAAACCACAACCAAGGGAUGGACCUGGCAAAAUUAGAAGGGAAAGAAGACAUUGUUCAACUUGAUUCCAGUCUGACGUUGUCAAAUUACUUGAGAGGUGUAGUAUAAGUGGAAUUCAUAAGGUGAAUAUGAAAUACAACUACUUUUAAUAUUAUUUUACUUAUUCCCAAAAUCGAAUGUAGGGUGUUUCCUCUGCUUUUGGACCUAACUCCCAAGGCUUGCUUCACGUGUCAAUCUGGGCAGAAGACAUUUUCAGGUGGUGAGUUUGCCUUGGACGGCAAUUUUGUUUAAAGAUAACGGAUGUGUUCUAUGAUGAGCUCAGUGAGAACAAAAAUCUUGUGUGGAACAUAAGAAUAAAAUCUCGUUUGAUUCUGAUCUCUUAUACUAAUAUCAACCGUGAAAGUGGGAUCUGUUAUUUUACCCUACUGAUGAUAGUGUUGUAAUAGUAAUUCAACCUAGUAUAGAAGGAAUCAUUGAUUCACACAAUUGGUCAUCGCACUUGGUUGAAAAGCUUGUGGUGUGAAGCUAUUGUGGGUUGGGAUAUGACUAAACUCCUCUAAGUCAUAAUCUUGACUAAAGGUAAUGCAUGUG